rnacentral:rRNA from 1 species
AUGGCGUCCAAGGCCGUUGCUGAGAUAGUCGAUGACAAGCAAUGCAGUAAAAGCGCCACCGAGUCCUCUGAGGCCGCGCCUUCUCGGAGGCAGUCUGAGGAGCAAAUCGGGGGAGCAAGCAAAUCGGGGCCUGCCUCACCGAGAGCAGUCCCGCCUGGUGAUGUGGCUACGUCCAGCGGAGUGAAAGAACAAGAUAAAGACUGCAGUUCUGUUGAUGGCUCUGUGAAACUGGACGAAGAUGAAGACCCCGAGAAGAGCUCCCUGCGUGGGAGCGUCAAGGAUAGCUCGGUUUCUGCCAAGUUCAGCGACGGAGCAAGCAGCCUGACAAAGGCGAGCGGCAGCACCAAGGUCAGCGGCCACGCCGAUUUGGUCCAGAGCGGGAAGAGCAGCGUUUACCGGGCCAGCGCUGGCAGUGAUGUCAGUGAUGAUAGCACCUGUAGCAGUAUAUGCAGCAGCGCUAGCAAGCCUCACAAGUCCAAUGAUUCAAGGUGGGAGGCGAUUCAGGUGAUCCGGACCAAAGAAGGUUCGCUAGGAUUGAGUCACUUCAGGCUGCUUAAGAGGCUUGGCUGUGGUGACAUUGGCAGUGUUUACUUAUCAGAGCUUAGUGGCACGAAAUGCUACUUUGCUAUGAAGAUCAUGGACAAGGCAUCUCUAGCUGGCCGCAAAAAGCUUCUCAGGGCCCAGACUGAAAGGGAGAUAUUGCAGUGCUUAGACCAUCCUUUUCUUCCGACUUUGUACACCCACUUUGAGACUGAUAAAUUCUCAUGCUUGGUGAUGGAGUUUUGCCCUGGAGGAGACCUGCAUACCCUAAGGCAGAAGCAGCCUGGGAAGUAUUUCCCCGAACAAGCUGCCAAAUUUUAUGUAGCAGAGGUGCUUCUUGCUCUAGAAUACCUGCACAUGCUCGGUAUCAUAUAUCGGGACCUCAAGCCAGAGAAUGUUCUUGUGAGAGAAGAUGGCCACAUCAUGCUGUCAGAUUUUGAUUUGUCCCUUCGUUGUGAUGUGAGCCCUACACUUCUCAAAUCUUCCAACCCUGGUGUAGAUCCUAACCAAAAGGGUAAUCAAGCUUAUUGUGUACAACCCGUGUGCAUUGAGCCAGCCUGUAUCCAGCCUGCUUGCGUUACGACAACCACAUGUUUCUCUCCUCGCUUUUUCUCCUCCAAGUCCAAGAGGGAGAAGAAGGAAAAGAAGGCAAAGGCAGACAUGGCAACCCAGGUCAGACCGCUCCCUGAGCUUGUUGCAGAGCCCACAGAUGCAAGGUCUAUGUCAUUCGUAGGCACCCAUGAAUACUUGGCACCUGAGAUCAUAAAGGGUGAGGGGCAUGGGAGUGCUGUGGACUGGUGGACUUUUGGCAUAUUCUUGUAUGAACUUCUUUUCGGCAAGACUCCAUUCAAAGGUUCGGGGAACAGGGCAACACUAUUCAAUGUUGUUGGCCAGCCCCUCAGGUUCCCAGAAUCACCCGUUGUGGGUUUUGCUGCAAGGGAUCUCAUAAGGGGGUUGCUGAUCAAGGAGCCGCAGCAUCGAUUGGCGUACAAACGUGGAGCCACAGAAAUAAAGCAGCACCCAUUCUUUGAAGGUGUUAACUGGGCAUUGAUAAGGUGCGCUACUCCUCCAGAUAUCCCCAAGCCAGUUGAAAUCCCUCGGCCAGGAGCCUCGACAAGUCAGAAGGCAACACCGUCAGCCGAGAAAGGUCCAGACAAUUAUCUUGAAUUUGAUUUCUUUUAG